GGAGUUAGCCGGUGCUUCUUCUGCGAGUAACGUCACAGAUGUAAGGUAUUAACUUACACCCUUUCCUCCUCGCUGAAAGUGCUUUACAACCCGAAGGCCUUCUUCACACACGCGGCAUGGCUGCAUCAGGGUUUCCCCCAUUGUGCAAUAUUCCCCACUGCUGCCUCCCGUAGGAGUCUGGGCCGUGUCUCAGUCCCAGUGUGGCUGAUCAUCCUCUCAGACCAGCUAGGGAUCGUCGCCUAGGUGAGCCUUUACCUCACCUACUAGCUAAUCCCACCUGGGCUUAUCCAUCAGCGCAAGGCCCGAAGGUCCCCUGCUUUCCCCCGUAGGGCGUAUGCGGUAUUAGCAGUCGUUUCCAACUGUUAUCCCCCACAAAUGGGCAAAUUCCCAGGCAUUACUCACCCGUCCGCCGCUCGUCAUCUUCAAAAGCAAGCUUUUGAAAUGUUACCGCUCGACUUGCAUGUGUUAGGCCUGCCGCCAGCGUUCAAUCUGAGCCANAAUCAAACUCUGA
rnacentral:rRNA from 1 species